GCCUUUCUAAGUUAUAUUUUGUACAACUAAUUGAGUGUUUGCUUUCCCUUUCCAAAUUGAACCGUGCACUCCUUCUAUACAAGUAUGGUAUUCUAUAUUUAUAAUCAUCGAUCCAAUCUCAAAAAUGGACUAAGAACAUCAAACCCCACGUCAGUCCCUUCCUGUUUAGGUGACCAAAGCCUAACUCAAACACCCAUUUCCCCUAUCGGUGUCUAUCAAAACAAUCAAAAUCAAAACACCCUUGAAGAUCUUUUGUUAAUGUUCUUCGUUCUUCUUUGAUUUUUAGCCAGGAACCAAAACCAAACGCCCGAGAUAUCCUUGUGUUGAUCUAUCUUCUUUCCCUGCAAUCAAAGGCAAAACCCAAACACAAAUUUCAUCCAUCGAUUUAUGUCAAACAAUCAAACCCAAAAUCUAACUUAAUUCAAUCGAUUUUCUGUCAAAAAUUUAAUCCCAAAGGCCCAAACACCCAAUUAGAUUCUAUUCAUUACUGUGCAGCAAUCAAAAAAAAAAAAAAAAACGACGAAGACCGAAGGAGUUGCAGAAGUAGCCCCAUCCAUUACCUGAAAUCGCUGGAGACCGACGCUUCCUCACGAUCUGUUCCAUCGAUUGGACCAUUAUCUCUUCGAGUUCACCUCAUAGAUAGUUUUCCUCGCAUUCCCUGUUCACCCUUCGAUCGAGCAACGACGCCAACACCCCGUCUUCGUCACUGCUGCUGCUGGGGAUACCUGACCCUUCGCUGCUUCUCCCCUUCGGCCAUCGAACCCCGGAGACAACAAUCCAUCUGGCGAUUGAUCACUGAAAACACGCCUGCUUCAGUGAUACUUCUGCUUGAGACGCCCAGACUUAACGCCUCGCAGCCAGACAAGAAGAGGGAAGCUACGUUGCUUCGGCCUCGCCGAUCCCGGAGACGACAACCUCCCCUCGUCCUUCGAUGGGAGAAUGUCGCCUGCGAAGCCCCGUAACCGCUUCUUGUUUUCCGACGACAACCUCCCUUGUUUUUUUUUUUUUCUUGAUUUGAAGAAAACGGAGACCCCGAUCCCUGUUCUCCCUAUUUCGAUUGUAUUAGCCUAAUCCACCAGAUUAGUCCCUCAUUUUUAUCAAAUAGUAAAAAACAACCCCUCUGUUACGUUAAUAUUACAAUCAGCCCUAACAAUCAUUUGAUUUUGAUAAAGUAACAAAAUAACCCUUCAUUUGACAAAUACCUUACAAGAUCAACCCAAUCCUAAAUCAUUGAAACCAUUUAUCCAAAACAACACCUCGCUUGAGUUAUUUUAACCAAAUCAGUUCUAUUUUGGUUAAUUAUAUUACCAAACUACCCCCAAUAGUUUAUAUUUGUUACGAAAUGGUCCCGAGAGUAUUAAAAAGUUCAAGAAUUAUGGAUUUACGGUUUCUCACGUCAAGUUUCUCAAAGAAACCAAAUUCGAAUGAUUGGAACUCACGCUACGAAUGUAAGUGCUUACGACCCCUUUUUAAUAUUUUAAUUAUUUCCAGGGGGAUNUUCUGGGGCGGAGGACGUCAUAUAUGUAUCACAACAAUGUAAAUUAGUAAACAAGCAACAACAUCAUCCAUCACAUUAAUAGAAUAAUUCUGCUUACAAGUGUGUUCUUUCAUAGUAUAAAACAACAUAAUGAAUACUCAAAAUAAAAGACGAGUCUUGACUGCUCCAUAUUCUCUAAACCUUGCAUCAGUACCUGUCUAUUUGUAACCUGAGAAUACAAGUUAUUUUGAAAGCGAGUAUCAACAAUAAAGUUGGUGAAUUCAUAAGUAUUAUAAUGUUAUCGCUUUGAAAAGUUGUUAUGAAAGACUGGUGAAUGUUUGAUGAAACGUUUAGUAUAAGUAUGAAAACCCUAGAAAAUCUCAUAUUUCCUACUAGUAUAAAAAGUAGUCUUCUACCAAGACGCGAAUGUUUUAAAAGUAGUCUUCUACCAAGACCUGACUGUUUUAAAAGUAGUCUUCUACCAAGACCUGACUGUUUUAAAAGUAGUCUUCUACCAAGACCUGAAUGAUUUGAAAGUAGUCUUCUACCAAGACCUGACUGUUUUGAAAGUACGCAUCACUUGUAAAUGUGACGGUUUUUCCCCUGUUUAACUAUUAUUAUAAAACUAUAAAAGUAAUAGUAUAAUAACUUAUGUUGUAUCCUUUGGUACUAAGAUAUUCUAGUAUAAUCUACCUCGUCGGUUAUGUGAACGUGACACAAAAUAAAUGUAACAAUAUAAUUAUAUAGGUA
rnacentral:lncRNA from 1 species